AUUGUCUAGCCUUAGGUCACAGAGCUAUUCUGUGGCAAAGACUAGAUUGGAACCAAUAUCUUCUGGAAUUGGACUGCAAGUUCAUUAUUCUUUCAUGUUUCCAUGAUGUCUUCAAGAUAGAGAGUCUAUCAUCUACGUAGAACUGAAGAUGACAGAAGACACCAAAGGAGGACGGGGGCUUCCAGGAAGAGCCAGUAAGAUGUGCUGAGGUAGGAAGAUGUGAAGAAAAUUGUUGAACAUGUCUGACAAUAGAAGACCUAAGGCCUAAGAAGUCCAUUUCAAUGAAUCACAAAAGAAAUCAAAGAACAGAAUUUCUCUCUUUUGAAGAGAGAAUAAUUGCUUUAUUAAGGUCACAGCAGCAGAUUUCUAGACCCAGUGUCAUGUCUCCUUGUCCAAACUGUGGCCCCUUCAUGGUAGUGUGGAUCUUCUGAGAAGAGCUCUAAGUAGUUUGAAUGUAUUGUGAGAAUCAGAUUGAAUCUAGCUUCAGAAUCUGAGUUUUGCAGGUCUAGGUCACACACAAACACACAUGCGCGCGCACACACACACACACACACACACACACAUAUUUUCUUUUUUUGAGGUAGGGUCUCAUUCUCUCACCCAGGCUGGAGUGCAAUUGUGCAAUCACAGCUCACUGCAGCCUCUACCUCCCGGGCUCAAGCUAUCCUCCCACUUUAGCCCCAAGUAGCUGGGACCACAGGCAUGCAC
rnacentral:lncRNA from 1 species